GGGCCCGUGGCCUAGCUUGGAUAUGGCGCAGGCCUGCGGAGCCUGAGGUCCCGGGUUCGAGUCCCGGCGGGCCCGCCA
rnacentral:tRNA from 1 species